rnacentral:rRNA from 1 species
UGCAUAUCAAUAAGCGCGGAGGAAAAGAAACCAACAGGGAUUGCCCUAGUAACGGCGAGUGAAGCGGCAACAGCUCAAAUUUGAAAGCUAGCCUUCGGGUUCGCAUUGUAAUUUGUAGAGGAUGAUUUGGGGAAGCCGCCUGUCUAAGUUCCUUGGAACAGGACGUCAUAGAGGGUGAGAAUCCCGUAUGUGACAGGAAAUGGCACCCUAUGUAAAUCUCCUUCGACGAGUCGAGUUGUUUGGGAAUA